rnacentral:rRNA from 1 species
UUGAUCAUGGCUCAGGACGAACGCUGGCGGCGUGCUUAACACAUGCAAGUCGAGCGGAAAGGCCACUUCGGUGGUACUCGAGCGGCGAACGGGUGAGUAACACGUGAGUAAUCUGCCCUUGGCUUUGGGAUAGCCACCGGAAACGGUGAUUAAUACCGGAUACGACCACUUCUCGCAUGGGAUGGUGGUGGAAAGUUUUUUCGGCCAGGGAUGUGCUCGCGGCCUAUCAGCUUGAUGGUGAGGUAAUGGCUCACCAUGGCUUCGACGGGUAGCCGGCCUGAGAGGGUGACCGGUCACACUGGGACUGAGACACGGCCCAGACUCCUACGGGAGGCAGCAGUGGGGAAUAUUGGACAAUGGGCGGAAGCCUGAUCCAGCAACGCCGCGUGAGGGAUGACGGCCUUCGGGUUGUAAACCUCUUUCAGCAGGGACGAAGCGCAAGUGACGGUACCUGCAGAAGAAGCACCGGCCAACUACGUGCCAGCAGCCGCGGUAAUACGUAGGGUGCGAGCGUUGUCCGGAAUUAUUGGGCGUAAAGGGCUCGUAGGCGGUUUGUCGCGUCGGGAGUGAAAACCAGGUGCUUAACACCUGGCUUGCUUUCGAUACGGGCAGACUAGAGGUAUUCAGGGGAGAACGGAAUUCCCUGGUGUAGCGGUGAAAUGCACAGAUAUCAGGAGGAACACCGGUGGCGAAGGCGGUUCUCUGGGAAUGACCUGACGCUGAGGAGCGAAAGUGUGGGGAGCGAACAGGAUUAGAUACCCUGGUAGUCCACACCGUAAACGUUGGGGCGCUAGUGUGGGUGCCCAUUCUCACGGAUUCCGUGNCNCAUCUAANUCAUUUAACGGCCCCGCCUGAGGAGUACUGCCGUAAGGGCUAAAACUUUAAAGGUAUUUGCGGGGGCCCCGCACCA